AUCAGGCCUAUUUUUUCUGCUCACAAAGAUUGCUCUUAACAUUUUACUAUAGCUUUCGAAGGGCUUUAAAACGAUGCUCGAAGAAAUGAUAUUAGUCUGGACACUUCAUGCCUCGACAACUUCAAUUUAGGGGACGGGGAAAUCUAAAAUUUCAAAGUCAUUGUCCAGACAAAAUAGCCACCUUACCAGCGAGUAUUCAAAUGAGUUAAGGUUUACAAUUUGCACAGAUUGGAAGGGGGAGUAGGAAAGAAGGAGCCCAAUCGUGUGUGUGAUUACUUAGAAGUCCCACUGUGUUCAAUAGGGCUUACGCUCAGGCAACGAUGAAUAUCAAACAGCUCAGAAUCAUAGAAUGGAAUUAUGAAACCACAAAAUCAUGGGAAAUCACAUGGGAGGAAACAAUGAACCCCCUAGCCUUAAGGAAUGCAGUAAAAGACACAAUGUUGACCCCACAAACAAAGCUCUCCUUCUACUCUGUCCUCAGAGACAGGCAUAAAAGUAACAGAGAUAGAAAUUAUAUAGAGUUAAUAGUGAACAUAAGCAUCAUUGGGUGACAGUGGUUGCAAUUCUGAAUAGCUCUUUGUAGUAUAGUGGUUCUGCAUGCCAACCUACACUAGAAACAACCAUUUACGAUGCUACCCCUAGUCUUAUUUUGUAGCCUUUGAAGCUCUUCACAUGAUCAUGCCAUACCCCAUAGUGAGUGGGCAGCCUUGGAGAACUGUCUGGUUGCAUCCAUGCAGAUAGACACAAAAUGUAAUCCAUCAAGCCUGUGAUUUGCUGACAUUUUCCAGAGGCCGUAGCUGGAUGCUUUUCUGCUCCCCUUGGGACACAGAACAGUUGUAUAUGUGUUGAACACUUCAGAGUUUGAAAGCAGGUUUAGUGAAUAUGAGUACUGCCUAAUACAGCCAGCCCCUUGUACCCAUAGGUUCUGUAUCUAUGGAUUCACCCAACCAUAGCACAAAAAUAUUUGGAAAAAAAUCUCAAAAGCAAACCUUGAUUUUGCUACAUGCAAAACACUGCACUGAUUUGUCGGCAUAACCUGCUGUCGCAUCCUUCCAUUUAAAGAUCUGGCACUCAUUUGAGUUGCUCAUCUUUUAAAAUAAGGGGCACAAUUUUACUAUGUCAUUGUAUAUAAUAGACCUUCAACUUCCCCAGAUUUUGGUAUUGAUGGGGGGUCCUGGAAACAAACUCCAGCAGAUACAGAGGGCCUGCUGUAAUUUCCCAGAAGAGGUCAUCAAAUUGAUUACUUAAUAAAUUCUUGAGCCCUCUUUCUCAAUAGGAAGAUGUACAUUUGAAAAAGAUAACUAAAAAUGGCUCAGAGAUUUCAAAGUUCAUUUAACACCCCAGGGCACGUUUUGGCAGUGGCAUCGCACUUAAACUCAUAUGAAUCAGAUCUGUUUUAACCUCCAGCUUUCAUGAACUGACCUGCAUAUUUUUAUUCCUAUCUUUAAAAAUGGAGCCCACAUGGUGUAGUCGUUUGAGUGUUGAAAUAUAACUCCACAACCAGGUUCAAAUUCCUGCGUGGCUAUGAAACUCACAGAGGAACCUUAGCCAAGUCACAUUCUCUCACCCACAGAAAAAGGCAAUAACAAACCUUGUCUGAACAAAUCUUGCAAAGAAAACCCCGCGUUAGAUUCAAUUUGGGAUUGCCAUAGGUCAGAAAUAACCUGAAGGCACACAACAAGAACAAUAUAUAGUAGAGUCUCACUUAUCCAACAUAAAUGGGCCAGCAGAAUGUUGGAUUAGUGAAAAUGUUGGAUAAUAAGGAGGGAUUAAGGAAAAGCCUAUUAAAUGUCAAAUUAUGUUAUAAUUUUACAAAUUAAGCAUCAAAACAUCAUGUUUUACAACAAAUCGACAGAAAAAGCAGUUUAAUACAUGGUAACGUUAUGUAGUAAUUACUGUAUUUACGGAUUUAGCACCAAAACAUUACAAUAUAUUGAAAACAUUGACUACAAAAACUUUGGUUACUAACAAAUUGACUACAAAUAAAGAUAGAAUUGGAUAAAAUGAACGUACAGUAACAACAUUGUCAGAAAUUAAAUCCAUAUAAAGUUCACUCCUAGAGAAACAGCUGUGGAUCCGGGUGGGAGACAGACUGCGUUUGAUAAUCCAGAACGUUGGAUAAUCGAAUGUUGGAUAAGUGAGACUCUACUGUAUUUAAAAAUAUAAUGGUUUGUUGUGUGUUUUCUGGGCUGUAUGGCCAUGUUCCGGAAGUAUUCUCUCCUGACGUUUAUAAUAUACCUCACAACCUCUGAGGAUGCCUGCCAUAGAUGUGGGUGAAACAUCAGGAGAGAAUACUUCUGGAGCAUGGCCAUACAGCCCAGAAAACAUAUAACAACCCUGUGAUCCUGGCCAUGAAAACCUUCGGCAACACAUAAAAAAAUACACUAUAUAAUCUUUUCUCUAUUUCCCCUAGUUUUUUAAAAAAUUGAAUUUAUUUCUGCUCAUAAUAUUGAUUGCUGUAAUUUAAAAUUCAUAUUUUGUUUUAAUGUUAUUAAUUUAACUUUGCACACUGAUGUUUAGAGAUUCAGCAUAUCGACAUAAAAUAAAAUCAACAGAGCCUAUGGCAAAGGAAACGGAGCAUCCGACUUUCCUUAGUCAACUAUUAAGAGUUCACCUUGUUAUUCAGCAGUGGAGUGCUUCUUUCUCUUCUACAAAAUUUGUCAUUAAAACGGUUUGUGCAUUUUGUUGAAUCCUGGCUGCUUGUUUCGUCUAACAACACUCCCACAGGCAAACUAUGGCUUAGAGGCAAACUGCAGUUAGAAGCCAUGCUUGUUC
rnacentral:lncRNA from 1 species